rnacentral:tRNA from 2 species
AGUUAAUGAACUUGUAUAAGUUUAUACUUUGAAAGUAUAAAAAAAGGUUAAUAAGCCUUAUUAACUU